rnacentral:misc_RNA from 1 species
CCGAGUGAUGCUCUUUUAGAGCUCCUCCCACCCAAUGUCAAUUUUACUUGUUGCUUCGGCGGAUCACUUUUAUAAGUCAUCGAUAAUAUUAUGUUAUGGAUGUGUAUCCGCCGAAGAAUUUUAUACUCAAGUUUUUUAUCGUCAGAUUUUUUAUUUAAACAAAUAA